rnacentral:tRNA from 1 species
GAGGUGGCCGAGAGGCUGAAGGCAACCGCCUGCUAAGCGGUUGUGGGGAUAAAACCCCACCCAGGGUUCGAAUCCCUGCCUCUCCGCCA